UUACUUACCUGGAUGGGGUCAAUAGGCGAUCAAGAAGGUCUAUGGCCUAGAUCAGUAACCUCCAUUGCACUUCAGGAGGGGUGCUGCUCUAAGGUCGGCCCAAGUGGUCGAGCCUACAUCAUAAUUUGUUGUCGGGGCUUGCGUUCGCGCAGCCCCUUU